ACGCUGGCGGCAGGCCUAAGACAUGCAAGUCGAGCGAGAAAACCCCUCGGGGUGAGUACAGCGGCGGACGGGUGAGUAACGCGUAGGAAUCUACCCAGUAGUGGGGGACAACUAGUGGAAACGCUAGCUAAUACCGCAUACGCCCUACGGGGGAAAGCGGGGGACCUUCGGGCCUCGCGCUAUUGGAUGAGCCUGCGUAAGAUUAGCUUGUUGGUGAGGUAAUGGCUCACCAAGGCGACGAUCUUUAGCUGGUCUGAGAGGAUGAUCAGCCACACCGGGACUGAGACACGGCCCGGACUCCUACGGGAGGCAGCAGUCGGGAAUAUUGCGCAAUGGGGGAAACCCUGACGCAGCCAUGCCGCGUGUGUGAAGAAGGCCCUAGGGUUGUAAAGCACUUUCAAUUGGGAGGAAAAGCUAAUGGUUAAUAACCAUUAGCCCUGACGUUACCUUUAGAAGAAGCACCGGCUAACUCCGUGCCAGCAGCCGCGGUAAUACGGAGGGUGCAAGCGUUAAUCGGAAUUACUGGGCGUAAAGCGCGCGCAGGCGGUUUUUUAAGUCGGAUGUGAAAGCCCCGGGCUCAACCUGGGAAUUGCAUCCGAUACUGGAAGACUAGAAUGCGGGAGAGGGAGGUAGAAUUCCAUGUGUAGCAGUGAAAUGCGUAGAUAUAUGGAGGAAUACCAGUGGCGAAGGCGGCCUCCUGGCUCGACAUUGACGCUGAGGUGCGAAAGCGUGGGGAGCGAACGGGAUUAGAUACCCCGGUAGUCCACGCCGUAAACGAUGUCUACUAGCUGUAGGGGUACUUGAGACCUUUGUAGCGCAGCUAACGCAAUAAGUAGACCGCCUGGGGAGUACGGCCGCAAGUUAAACCUCAUAAAAUGAAAUG
rnacentral:rRNA from 1 species